ACGGGUGAGUAACGCGUGGGAACGUGCCUUCUGGUUCGGAAUAACUCAGGGAAACUUGAGCUAAUACCGGAUACGCCCUUUUGGGGAAAGGUUUACUGCCGGAAGAUCGGCCCGCGUCUGAUUAGCUAGUUGGUGGGGUAACGGCCUACCAAGGCGACGAUCAGUAGCUGGUCUGAGAGGAUGAUCAGCCACACUGGGACUGAGACACGGCCCAGACUCCUACGGGAGGCAGCAGUGGGGAAUAUUGGACAAUGGGCGCAAGCCUGAUCCAGCCAUGCCGCGUGAGUGAUGAAGGCCUUAGGGUUGUAAAGCUCUUUUAUCCGGGACGAUAAUGACGGUACCGGAGGAAUAAGCCCCGGCUAACUUCGUGCCAGCAGCCGCGGUAAUACGAGGGGGGCUAGCGUUGCUCGGAAUCACUGGGCGUAAAGGGCGCGUAGGCGGUCUUUUAAGUCGGGGGUGAAAGCCUGUGGCUCAACCACAGAAUUGCCUUCGAUACUGGGAGACUUGAGUUCGGAAGAGGUUGGUGGAACUGCGAGUGUAGAGGUGAAAUUCGUAGA
rnacentral:rRNA from 1 species